rnacentral:misc_RNA from 1 species
UCUGCCAAAGCAAAUAGACAAAUGUUCAAGGCAAGCACUCUCACAUCAAGAAUUUGAAACUGAGAAUAUCCUAGUGAUUACACUCAUGCUUAUUGCUUAGUUUGAUUGAGGUGAGAUAACCAAGUUACUUUCCUUCUCCAAAAGAAAUUUCAGGAAUCAAAUAGAGCAUAACUCCGUUUUAGGAUCCAAAUGGUAACACAAGCCUAAAUCAUAUAAUGGAAGAGUCAAAUAAUUGAUCCAAAAGUAGACAAGUCCCUUAACUUCAUAUAACUGCAGAGCCUACAACAGCCGCAAAGGUAUUUGGUGUGCUGAAACAUAGAUUUCAUAUGAACUUAACAGACACAUGACUAAUUGACCACCAAUCAAAGAUUUUAGUGCAUUAUUUUUAAAAGAAUUUUGAAUUAUUUAUAUAGGAUAUUUGGGAAACUUAUUUUCUUGGCAGGGUUAGGCUUUUCUAUUUGAUAAUUGUUAUUGUGCCUACACAAGUUUUCUUAUAGACUCUUUGACAUCUAAUUGUUGUUCAUUAAAAUCAUAAUAAAUACAGCGUCAGACAAUUGGUUCUUCUGCCACAUUCGUUUUCAUUUCUCAUUGCUUGUUCGACAUCAGAAAGAGUGAAGUCCAACAAUAACUUACUCAGGAGCAUGAUAACCAAAUGUUCCUAGAACACGAGUGGAAUGAAGACGUGCUGCCAUAUCAGGAGCUUGAUUUGACAAAUCAAAAUCUGCAAUCUUUGCAACAUCAUCAUCAAAAAUCAGAACAUUACUGGACUUAAUAUCUCGAUGAAUGAUAUGAGGAUCAGCCUUUUCAUGCAAGUA